rnacentral:rRNA from 1 species
UACGUAGGCAGCAAGCGUUGUUCGGAGUUACUGGGCGUAAAGGGUGUGUAGGCGGUUCCUUAAGUUUGCUGUGAAAUCUCCCGGCUUAACCGGGAGGGUGCGGUGAAUACUGAGGGACUAGAGUACGGGAGAGGAAAGUGGAAUUCCUGGUGUAGCGGUGAAAUGCGUAGAUAUCGGGAGGAACACCUGUGGCGAAGGCGGCUUUCUGGGCCUUACCUGACGCUGAGACGCGAAAGCGUGGGGAGCGAGCCGG